ensembl:lncRNA
AAGAAAUUACUAAGUAAGCAAAGAAAGAAAGAAAGAAAGAAAGAAGUUGCUAAGAAAGAAAGAAAGAAAGAAGUUACUAAGAACGAAAGAAAGAAAGAAGUUACUAAGAACGAAAGAAAGAAAGAAGUUACUAAGAACGAAAGAAAGAAAGAAAGAAAGAAAGAAGUUACUAAGAAAGAAAGAAAGAAAGAAAGAAAGAAAGAAAGAAAGAAAGAGAAAAGUUACUAAGAAAGAAAGAAGUUACUAAGUAAGCAAAGAAAGAAAGAAAGAAAGAAGUUGCUAAGAAAGAAAGAAAGAAAGAAAGAAAGAAGUUACUAAGAAAGAAGAAAGAAAGAAAGAAAGAAUUACUAAGAAAGAAAGAAAGAAAGAAAGAAAGAAGUUACUAAGAAAGAAAGAAAGAAGUUACUAAGUAAGCAAAGAAAGAAAGACAGAAGUAGAGAUCUCGGUAUAAUCCCUGACGAGAGAUCAAGUAAAAUACACCUGCUUCCUAUAAUAAUGAUGAUAUAAAAAGGCGUGUGGAAUUUAAGAUCAGAUCUCAUGGUAUGGACAGGUUUAGGGAUGAGGUUUCAGGUUUACGCUCGGGCGCUGUGAACGAGUCACUCUCACUGUGCACUCGGGUGUGGUGUGUAGAGCAGCAGGGGUAACACACAACGUGUGUGGUGUGUGCUCAUGGUUAAUGUGGCAUGACGCAGGAGAGAGAGAGAGCGAGAGAGAGCGAGAGCGAGCGAGAGAGUCGGGCUUGUUGGUUGAGGUGUAAUUGGGAGAGGAGAUACACACACGUGACUGUAAGACCAUGUGUACAUCUGAUCAGUUCAGGUUGUAAGGUUUUAAUUACAUGUGUAGUCAGAUAUAUCACCGCUGAACUGAACUCUGUUUUAUUUGCUGUACCGCAUGUAAUAUGCAGUUCAGCGCUGGUCCAGGUACUGUACUUAAAAAUGGUUUCCACAUCAAUAUAUUUUUUGCUUCAUUAAAGACACCAAUUUGAUGUCAAUUUGAGCAGAUACUGUACGCUGUGACAAUGC